UACGUAGGGUGCAAGCGUUGUCCGGAAUUAUUGGGCGUAAAGAGCUCGUAGGCGGUUUGUCGCGUCUGCUGUGAAAUCCCGAGGCUCAACCUCGGGCUUGCAGUGGGUACGGGCAGACUAGAGUGCGGUAGGGGAGAUUGGAAUUCCUGGUGUAGCGGUGAAAUGCGCAGAUAUCAGGAGGAACACCGAUGGCGAAGGCAGGUCUCUGGGCCACUACUGACGCUGAGAAGCGAAAGCGUGGGGAGCGAACAGG
rnacentral:rRNA from 1 species